CUUUUACAGGGAGAGUGGAGAGGCAUGUCAUCGCUCAAUGUCACCUGUUGACUGUGAUGGACUGGGAUUCAAACCCUGCUCAAGUGCAAAUCUGGCCAGCCAGAGAGACAGAGGGCAGCUCCUGGGAAUUGCUGGGUAAUACAAGAAACAGGUGCUCUCGUUAAAUCUGCUCUAACUGAAAAUCUAAGCUCCAAGGGCUGCUCUCUCUGUACCUGCACCCGACAUUCCAAGGUCAGGUUACCAAUUCUUUAUCAGGGCAGAACUGGAUUAAGUUUUUUUUUUUCCUCCAAGAGUAUUUUGUGUUAUUGCAUUAAAACAAAUGUCUUUUCUCCUCUUCAGUAUUUUCUGCCCAAGGUACUCACAGGUACCAGUUUUAUAUGAACUAGUUUUAUAAGAAUCGAAUAAACAAAACCUCGAGUCCUAACGCUAGCUCCUCCCCAUCAUGCACAAAGGCUGGAGAUUCUGCCUCUGUAGGUGCCAGGGACUCCUUGGUCCUCCAUUUCCUCUUGGUGGGCUUUUCCACACAUGGUGGCAAUAUGUUUAGGUCAGAAGUUGCUGGGUCCAGUUGCCAAGAGGCUACAGUUGACAGUGGUGUUAAGACCACAGGGUUUCUCUUCCCAUCCCACCUCCCGGUUCCAAGCUCCAGGGAAUAAAUGUCUUCCUCCUCUUUCUUCCUUCACCUACACCCAUGGAAGGUGAGGUGUGACGUGGAAGUGCCUCUCAGUUUAGCAACUUGCAAGAACACUUUUCUUUUCUCCUCCCCUCCAACUUUAGCCAGGCGAUUUGCACUUAAGUCUUGAUUCCCACUCUACAGUUUUCCAAUUAAUAUAAUUGAUAUCCUUCAAAGCCAUCUCAGAUUUGGCUGACAGUGUAUUAAGUCUUAUGAAGAAGCUCAAGGGAAAUAAAAUUACCUGGGGCAAUGUGAGUUUGGGGUAGCAGGAAUUUUUAGCUAAAAGAAGACUUAUGGGGGAAAAAUGC
rnacentral:lncRNA from 1 species